rnacentral:rRNA from 1 species
UCUACGAUUCUUUUGCCUGGACGCCUUGCUGCUUUUAACCGAGUGGUAAGGAGAGUCGGGCCAUUUACUGUGAGAAAAUUAGAGUGUUCAAAGCAGGCGUUUCGCUCGAAUAUGUUAGCAUGGAAUAAUAGAAUAGGACGUAUGGUUCUAUUUUGUUGGUUUCUAGGACCGUCGUAAUGAUUAAUAGGAACGGUCGGUGGCAUCAGUAUUGAGUAGCUAGAGGUGAAAUUCUUGGAUUUACUCAAGACUAACUAGUGCGAAAGCAUUUGCCAAGGACGUUUUCAUUAAUCAAGAACGAAAGUUAGGGGAUCGAAGACGCUUAGAUACCGACGUAGUCUUAACCGUAAACUAUGCCGACUUGGGAUCGGACAGGUCAUUAUUUUUUGCUUGUUCGGCACCACGUGAGAAAUCAAAGUUUUUAGGUUCUGGGGGGAGUAUGGUCGCAAGGCUGAAACUUAAAGGAAUUGACGGAAGGGCACCACCAGGAGUGGAGCCUGCGGCUCAAUUUGACUCAACACGGGGAAACUCACCAGGUCCAGACACAAUAAGGAUUGACAGAUUGAGAGCUCUUUCUUGAUUUUGUGGGUGGUGGUGCAUGGCCGUUCUUAGUUGGUGGAGUGAUUUGUCUGCUUAAUUGCGAUAACGAACGAGACCUUGACCUACUAAAUAGCUAGGCUAACAUUUUGUUGGUUUUUUCUAGCUUCUUAGAGGGACUACUACAGAAAAUGUAGUGGAAGUUCGAGGCAAUAACAGGUCUGUGAUGCCCUUAGACGUUCUGGGCCGCACGCGCGCUACACUGACACAGCCAACGAGUAAAUAACCUUUGCCGAAAGGUAUGGGUAAUCUUGUUAAACUGUGUCGUGCUGGGGAUAGAGCUUUGCAAUUUUUGCUCUUGAACGAGGAAUUCCUAGUAAGAGCAAGUCAUCAACUUGCGUUGAUUACGUCCCUGCCCUUUGUACACACCGCCCGUCGUUACUACCGAUUGAAUGGCUUAGUGAGGCCUUCGGAUGCGAGCUCAAAAGUGGGCAACCGCUUUAGGCUUACAGAAGUUGGUCAAACUUGGUCAUUUAGAGGAAGUACAAGUCGUAACAAGGUUUCCGUAGGUGAACCUGCGGAAGG